rnacentral:rRNA from 1 species
UAAUGACUCUCGGCAACGGAUAUCUCGGCUCUUGCAUCGAUGAAGAACGUAGCGAAAUGCGAUACUUGGUGUGAAUUGCAGAAUCCCGUGAAUGGGUGUCAUAC